CGUGAACCUUUACUAUAGCUUGACACUGAACAUUGAGCCUUGAUGUGUAGGAUAGGUGGGAGGCUUUGAAGUGUGGACGCCAGUCUGCAUGGAGCCGACCUUGAAAUACCACCCUUUAAUGUUUGAUGUUCUAACGUGGGCCCCUAAUCGGGGUUGCGGACAGUGUCUGGUGGGUAGUUUGACUGGGGCGGUCUCCUCCUAAAGAGUAACGGAGGAGCACGAAGGUUGGCUAAUCCUGGUCGGACAUCA
rnacentral:rRNA from 1 species